UGCUGCCCCUGACUCUAGGGCCGUGUGGUC
rnacentral:piRNA from 1 species